CCUACGGGGGGCAGCAGUGGGGAAUAUUGCACAAUGGGGGGAACCCUGAUGCAGCGACGCCGCGUGAAGGAAGAAGUAUUUCGGUAUGUAAACUUCUAUCAGCAGGGAAGAAAAUGACGGUACCUGACUAAGAAGCCCCGGCUAAAUACGUGCCAGCAGCCGCGGUAAUACGUAUGGGGCAAGCGUUAUCCGGAUUUACUGGGUGUAAAGGGAGCGUAGGCGGCCUGGCAAGCCUGAUGUGAAAUACCGGGGCCCAACCCCGGGGCUGCAUUGGGAACUGCCAGGCUGGAGUGCCGGAGAGGCAG
rnacentral:rRNA from 1 species